rnacentral:rRNA from 1 species
CCGUAAACGAUGCCAACUAGCGAUCCGCCGGCGUUAAAAUUUGACUCGGCGGGCAGCUUCCGGGAAACCAAAGUUUUGGUUCCGGGGGAAGUAUGGUUGCAAAGCUUAAACUUAAAGGAAUUGACGGAAGGGCACCACCAGGAGUGGAGCCUGCGGCUUAAUUUGACUCAACACGGGAAAACUUACCCGGCCCGGACACUGGAAGGAUUGACAGAUUGAGAGCUCUUUCUUGAUUCAGUGGGUGGUGGUGCAUGGCCGUUCUUAGUUGGUGGAGCGAUUUGUCUGGUUAAUUCCGAUAACGAACGAGACUCUAGCCUACUAAAUAGACUGUUCAGCUUUAUAGCCGGAAUCACCGGGCACGUAGCUCUCACGGGUUGCGUGUUCGGCUCUGGUGACGUUGACAGUGCUUCUUAGAGGGACAGGCGGCGGUUCAGCCGCACGAAACAGAGCAAUAACAGGUCUGUGAUGCCCUUAGAUGUCCGGGGCUGCACGCGCGCUACACUGAAGUGAUCAGCGUGCAAUUUACGUUUGGUGAUCUGUCAAGAUUGCCCAACCCGUUGAACCUUCUUCGUGAUUGGGAUAGGGGAUUGUAAUUAUUCCCCUUGAACGAGGAAUUCCCAGUAAGCGCAAGUCAUAAGCUUGCGUUGAUUACGUCCCUGCCCUUUGUACACACCGCCCGUCGCUACUACUGAUUGAAUGAAUUAGUGAGGUCUUCGGACUGGCCUGUGCUGGCUGUUUCGGCAGCUGCACAUGGCUCGGGAAGAUGCCCAAACUUGUUCAUUUAGAAGAAGUAAAAGUCGUAACAAGGUUUUCGUAGGUGAACCUGCGGAAGGAUCA